AGUGGGAUUUAACAUAAUAGUGUGGAUUGAAUCACACACACAUUUCAACCCACACUAUGAUGUUAAAUCCCAUU
ensembl:miRNA MIR4803 microRNA 4803